AGUGGGACAGGUCAAUUGGUUUGUUCUUCUGUCUCUUGCUCGCUGUCUUCUGCCUGUUCAGCGCUUCUCCUCUCCUCUCCUAUCCGUCUGAUCUUUCUUGGCUGGUUGGAUCUUAAUCAGGUGUCUGGAUGAGUCUGCAGGACCUGUAACCUAACUGGAUAAAACAGUAAACUCAUCCAUUGUAUAUACUCUGAGUAAUACACUGCUUUUGUUCAGAAAAGGUAAGCACCGCUGUGUUAGGAUGAUCCUGGAUCCAGAUGUUACACUAACCUUGGAUUCUUCUGGAGUCUAAAGCCUUCACAAUUGGUCACAAAUUCUGACUGUCAAAUGAGAUAAUGUUUUCUAUGAUUUUCUGGCAGCAUUAUGCCCAUGUUGUGCAUCUGGCCCCAAAGUAAUUGGUUAGGAGGGUCAAGGAAAGCAUUUUGGUAUGCUUCUUUUGUACUUAAGUCUGUCUCAUGUGUCCUUUUGUUUCACACUCUGCUUCUUCUCUACCGAACCAAAAUCUUUAGCACAAAACCGUUCUUGACAGCUGUGCAAUAGGGGAUGCAUUUUGCAUGCUCAUGGUGAACAAGUAGGCCAUGUUUUCCAUUUGUAAGUGUUUGGUUGGUGGAGCGUUUAUUUGGCUUUAGAUAGUAGUGGUCUACUUCAGUACGAUAUGCUACUCAAUGAAUAGCAGAGUUCAUGAUGAAAUAAAACUUUUUUAUCUCUUAGACUCUUACAAAUUGAAUUUUUAUUAUAAUUUUAUCUGAGUUCUCUAUGAGAGCCUUUAUGUAAUAAAUAUUUGAUAGAAGUUGGUAAAAUGGUGUUUUUCUAAAUAAUAUUAAAUGCA